GUGGAUUAGAUACCCCAGUAGUCCACGCCCUAAACGAUGCGAACUGGAUGUUGGGUGCAAUUUGGCACGCAGUAUCGAAGCUAACGCGUUAAGUUCGCCGCCUGGGGAGUACGGUCGCAAGACUGAAACUCAAAGGAAUUGACGGGGGCCCGCACAAGCGGUGGAGUAUGUGGUUUAAUUCGAUGCAACGCGAAGAACCUUACCUGGCCUUGACAUGCACGGAACUUUCCAGAGAUGGAUUGGUGCCUUCGGGAACCGUGACACAGGUGCUGCACGGUCGUCGCCAACU
rnacentral:rRNA from 1 species